UAUAUAUUAAACAUGAAUGUUUAUUAGGUGGCACAGCCUUGGGAUAUUGUGGGGAUGAAUUUAGUGGGAAAGCUCACACCAACGAAAGAAGGCUACCAGUACAUCUGUGUUUUUUGUUUGUUGUUGUUUUUCGCGGUCAUUUAGCACUUUAGUAAUUAGGUGUACAGAAGGCGAAUAUUUUUCAGAAUGUACUGAAAAUCUAUUAUAAUCCACUGUGCACAGCAAAUAGGGUAAGAAACCUGAGAAACAGUAAUUAAAGUAAUGCUGUUUGCUAGCUUUGACUAGUAUGCUCUCUGAUCAUCCAAUCAAAGGAUAAGACAAUGCUGAUGUUAUGGUAAGCCUGCUAGAUGGCCCUGGUGCUGCCAACUCAAAAUCUGAUUGGUUAAAGUAACGGUUUCAUUGCCAUCGAUUUAAGCUAACAGAUGCUUGCACCGUUGAUUCUGGAGGCCUUAGGAAGAUUUAUUUCACCCUGGCAACACGAUUGCUGAAAUAUGAUUGGAUAAAAGCUCUAAUAUAAACAUACACAACUGGAAGCAGCGCAACCAAGAGAAAAGAGGGGGCAAUUGAGGCGAAUGUCAUUGGCCCUGCCAUGCAGACAACUGGCACAGAAGAUGUGGUAGCAGUCCAGAAGACAUGGUUGGUGGUAUUGCUCAUGACACAGGAGCCUGAUGCCAAGCAGCUGACUGUGGUGGAGGGGAGAGGAGCUGGAUACAAAGGGAGAAUGAGGGGGUUGCCAAAGGUAAAGCUGAAGAAACCAGAUCCUGUGCACUCUGGAGGGCAGCAAAAAUAAUUCUUUAUGCAAUGGGAUAACAAUGGUCUCUUCAGUUAUUGUUAUUAGUAUGUUAAUAUUUUCAAGUAGGUUAAGAUUUUUCUGUAUAUUUCAUGUUCUGCAUAUACUGCUACUAUGCAAAACUUUACAGUAACAGACAAA